rnacentral:rRNA from 1 species
AUCAACUUUCGAUGGUAGGAUAGAGGCCUACCAUGGUGGUAACGGGUAACGGGGUGUUAGGGCACGACACCGGAGAGGGAGCCUGAGAAACGGCUACCACAUCCAAGGAAGGCAGCAGGCGCGCAAAUUACCCAGUCCCGACAUGGGGAGGUAGUGACAAUAAAUAACAAUACAGGGUUCUUUUGGAUCUUGUAAUUGGAAUGAGUACAAUUUAAAUCUCUUAACGAGGAACAAUUGGAGGGCAAGUCUGGUGCCAGCAGCCGCGGUAAUUCCAGCUCCAAUAGCGUAUAUUAAAGUUGUUGCAGUUAAAAAGCUCGUAGUUGAAUUUCGGGAUCAAAGAAUCGGUCAUGCCUUGGUAUGUACUGGUUUUAUUGGUUCUCACCUUCUAAAGAACCAUAAUGUCAUUUAUUUGAUGUUAUGGGGAAUUAGGACUGUUACCUUGAAAAAAUUAGAGUGUUUAAAGCAAGCUUACGCUUGAAUACAUUAGCAUGGAAUAAUCGAAUAGGACGGCAUGGUUCUAUUUUGUUGGUUUCUAGGAUCACCGUAAUGAUUAAUAGGGAUAGUUGGGGGCAUUAGUAUUCAAUUGUCAGAGGUGAAAUUCUUGGAUUUAUUGAAGACUAACUACUGCGAAAGCAUUUGCCAAGGAUGUUUUCAUUAAUCAAGAACGAAAGUUAGGGGAUCGAAGACGAUCAGAUACCGUCGUAGUCUUAACCAUAAACUAUGCCGACUAGGAAUCAGACGAUGUUAAUUUUUUAAUGACUCGUUUGGCACCUUACGGGAAACCAAAGUGUUUGGGUCC